rnacentral:tRNA from 1 species
GCGGGUGUAACUCAGUGGUAGAGUACAACCUUGCCAAGGUUGGAGUCGAGAGUUCGAAUCUCUUCACCCGCUCCA